GGAGACACCACGAACUCUGUCUGAUCUAGUGAAGUCUGAGUUGAUUGUAUCGCAAUCAGUUAAAACUUUCAACAAUGGAUCUCUUGGUUCCGGCAUCGAUGAAGAACGCAGCGAAAUGCGAUAACUAGUGUGAAUUGCAGAAUUCCGUGAAUCAUCGAGUCUUUGAACGCACAUUGCGCCCCCUGGUAUUCCGGGGGGCAUGCCUGUCCGAGCGUCAU
rnacentral:rRNA from 1 species